rnacentral:rRNA from 1 species
CUACGGGAGGCACCAGUGGGGAAUAUUGGACAAUGGGGGAAACCCUGAUCCAGCAAUGCCGCGUGUGUGAAGAAGGCCUGCGGGUUGUAAAGCACUUUCGGUUGGGAGGACUGCUUCUAGCACUAAUAUUGUUGGAAGUUGACGUUACCUUCAGAAGAAGCACCGGCUAACUCCGUGCCAGCAGCCGCGGUAAUACGGAGGGUGCAAGCGUGAAUCGGAAUUACUGGGCGUAAAGCGCGCGUAGGCGGCUAGAUCAGGCGGGUGUGAAAGCCCCGGGCUUAACCUGGGAACUGCAUCCGAUACUGUCUAGCUUGAGUACAGGAGAGGAGAGUGGAAUUCCACAUGUAGCGGUGAUAUGCGUAGAUAUGUGGAGGAACACCAAUGGCGAAGGCAGCUCUCUGGCCUGAUACUGACGCUGAGGUGCGAAAGCGUGGGGAGCAAACAGGAUUAGAUACCCGUGUAGUC